rnacentral:tRNA from 1 species
AUUUAAAUAGUUUAAUUAAAAUAUUAAUUUGUGGAAUUAAAGAUUAUACAUUAUAUUUAAAUA